UGUCCCAGCCGCCGUCCCCCCUUCCCUUGGCGGCUCUCGCAGCCGGCUCCGCUCCCGGCUCGGCCGCUCUUCGCGGGAGCGCUCUGACAGCACCUGCAGGACAGCGCGGGCACUCGGAGCCGGGAAGGGGAAUAAGCAAGAAGACACUGUUUCAACAUCAAGACACUGCAGCUUCAGCUGGAGUUCCACUUAUGUUCAUACAAAGAUUCAAGAGAAUAUCCAAGAGAGAGCAAAGUGGUUUUACUCCUUUUUAUACAAUUUUUUUGUGAUAUAUGUAUGUGUGUGAGCUCUGUAUGAGCAAAUAUAUACAUGUUCCCCUAAUGAAUCUGCUGUGGACCCUACUGCUGAUUCGGAAAGGGCAUCAAAGAGUGAUCAGCAGGCUUAGGCUGGAGCGAACUGAAACUUUCCUUCUGCUGUAGAACAUUCAGGCGGGGUGUAAGACAAUGAGGAAACACUGAGACUGCUGAGGAGGUCUGUACAGGUAGUGCUCACCAUCCUCUGAAGGGCACAGGAGUGGUUAUGCAGAGGAUGAGAGCCACUGUUUCAGGCAGCUCGAGCCAAGCUAGGGUCCAGCAGCAGCAUAUUGUGGGGUGGGUGUGUUCUGCUGCUUCAUUAACAGCACUCGGUGUGCCUCCAGUGCUCUGACCUUUGCUGUCCUGUGAGCAUGAGAUUGCUUUCAGUUUUUUGCCUCAUCUACUUCUUCCUGGUCAGGUGGCCUGUAGCAGACACUGACCACAAUGUCAUGGGCUGCCCUCUGCUCCUGGCUGCCAGCUGUCAGCUGGCUCCUCACCUGCCCCAAGGCACAGACAGCUCCGUGUGCCCCAGCUGCUCUCUCACAUCAAGGGAUCUCUUUAAUGUCCUGUCCUGUGCUUCCUAAAGAUCCAUCCCUGGCAGCCCUCCAUGGCAGCUGACCACUCCUCUCCCUUUCUUACGGCCUCUUGCACCACAUUGCUGUGAUUCCAGCAAGAUCACAGCCCAUCCCAGAACCUUUGUGGCUCCCGUUUGUCCCCUGUAGUGUACAGGGAAUUACUGGGGAUCAUUGUGAACCAUGAUGAACCAGCACCAGGUUGGCACCCUGCCCAGACACACCUGUCCAGCAGCAGGGCAGGUGCAACAGAGGCCAACCAGCCCCAAAAGGACUUCUUGACUUGCACUGACAUCGAGGGGCAGACACUUUCCCAGUGUCUCAAACACCCGCCCCAGCUCUCGGGCAGGUGCAUGAGCCCUGCUGCCUGUUGGUGUGGUGUUUUCAGGUGCACCAAGAGCACAGGAUUUAGCAAAACCAUGACCUGAGCCCUCAGUGCAGCACUCAUUAGCAGCAGGCUCAGCCCUUGGCUCUGCCUGGUGCAUACUAACAACUUGUUUUGAUCCUUCCAGGCCAUGGGAAUUGUCCCCACAUGCUGCAUCCUCAGCCACUCCUCCCGUGGGCUGCCCAGGGCGCUGGGGCAGCACUCAGGGCACCUCAGAGAUUUUGGUGGGUUACAGGUGAUCCCAUGUACAACAGGAAAAAAAGGAAACUAUCGCUUGUUCUGAAGACUAUGCACAGGAUUUAUGAUAAGUAAGAUUUUGCUGUUUUUUCCUCUUGGUGUGCAGGCCCUUUUUCGUAAGUUCUCUGCUGCCUCGGGUUGAGACAGGAUGCCCUUUAUGCUCGCAAUAUGAUGCUAUGGAGCUGGCAGCCUUCAUUUUUCACAGCCCCACACUAAAUGCAGGGCAAGCAGGCUCGGGAAAAUAAAUCUGAAAAGGGAGAAGGUUGUGCUGUUCUAGUUUCCCUUCCCCUCUUUCCUGCCUGCUCUUUUCCUCAGGUCUUUUGCCCUGCUAUAAAUGCAGGUAAAAGCCUCCAGUCACAACGAGCAAAAUGAAGAGAGCCACGGGCUCCGGCAGUGCGCAUCUACUCUAAUUUCUCUUUUCUUUCUUCUAGUAAUCCAGACAAGACUUGCAUGUUUUCUGCUCCAGUCUUUGGGUCAAGAACACACUGGUUAAUAGCUAAUUAUUUCAUGCCCUAAGGAAAUUUUGGCAAAGAAGUUCCUGGGAAGAGUCAACUUGUUUUGGGAAAUGAGACUAAUAUUCAAUUUCCAAACUCUGAAGCCUGCUGAAAUUUUCCUGGACUGCCUAAACCAGAAUGUGCAGUUCCAGCUAACAUAUCUAAAGAUCCUGCAAGAUUAUGUUAUCCAUUAUGUGACCUUCUUACUUGACAUUCCUUUGUCAUUGUUCUGAAUGCAAAGAGCUGAGGAGGGCUGGGAUGCAGAGGAGGGGAGAGGCCAGGAUUGUCACCCAGAGCUCCCAGAGCAGGAGUGCCUGGGCAGGUCUGGGCUCCCACACUGCAGCCAAGUUUGUUGUCUUACAGACUUUCAAGUAGGGUGACACAAUUCAAGAGAGGAUGCUGAUGAAAUCACCCUCAAACCUGAGUCUGAAAAGUCAGCAGAGCGCAGCUUUUGGGAGUGAGUCAUGUUAAAACCAAGCAUAUGCUCAAGUGUUUUGCUGGAUCAUGGCCAUAUUGAACUAUAAUGACCUAAAUGGAUUUACUCCCCAGACAAAUUUACCCUUUGCUUUCCUCCUGCCCACACAUACAUUUGCACCUCAAUCAAUCACUUAUGUCUCCUUCUAUUUCCUGCAUCCUACUUUUAUGAAAAACUUCAUGACUUGUUUAAUCUCUUCUAAGCAUGGCUUUAUUUCCUCUAUCGGUUUCCUUGAUAUUUCAUCAUCAAGGCUUUUUUUCCCCUACCUAAAGGUUUUCAAUUUUAGUGUAGAAAUUUAAUAAAAACAAAUUUGUUAAGGCUUUUUAAAGGAGCUGUUCCAUCUCUUUGUGCUCUUUUAUCUAAACCCCUUCCUCCCCAUAUAAAGACAAAGGUGUUGAAGAUGCACAUCAGGUAAACUAUUGCCUACAAAUGGCAAAAAUAACAUCUUGAAGCUCUCUUUCUGUGGAUGGUUUUUUUUCUGACAUGUGGUCUUUAUAUCUAGAAUUAUAGACAUUUAGAUGUCAGGUAGCUAGAGAGAAAAAAAUAAAAUAGAAUAGAUAUUGUAGCAAAAUAUCAAAGAAAUGAUGCAUUGGUGGUAGUUACAAGGUGUUUUAUUUCUCAAGAAGUGCCCAACUUUAUAAAGUUUUUAUCAUACCUGAUGGAAAAUUAAGGGCUGCUGAUAUUUUGCAAUUCAUUACCCAUUGCUUGUUGAUUACAUAAUUGUUAUUGAAUGAAGGAGCACUGUAAGGUCCUGUGAGAAGCUAAGCUGACAUGACUUCUGUCUUUCCUUUUUAUUACGAUAGUCAAUAGCGUAGUUGUAAGGAACAGAAUUGCUCUUUGUGACUGUAUUCGACAUUCUUCUGGGAGAGCUAGCUAAAAUUUGAGAGCAGAAAAGCAUUUCUGGAAAAUAAAGAAACAAAAAAAAAAAACAACAACCCAGCAUGCCAGACAAAUCAAUAAGUGGAUGGAGCCGAGUCUGAGACUUUGGGGUUGGGUUAGAACCUAAAUCAAGACACUAUUGACUCUGCAAAGCCUGUAUCUUUAGGGGUGCCUAUAUCAAAAUCAAUAUUGCUUUCCUGCUUUAUUUGAUAACUUCUAUGCUUUUGUGCAAGCAAAUCCAUUUUACAGUUGUAUUUCUUUUCUUGAGCAAAAGUCUACUCUUUGGUAUGUGUGACCUGUGUACUAUGGCUCUGUGUAAAUUAACAAAAGGUGGAUUGUGUGUGAUAUCUGUCACCAGUGUUCUCCAAUGAUGACAUUUGCAAAGGAAAUGAAAUAUCUGUAAAUUCUUUGCUGCAUAAUUUAUGCUCAACUCCUAUAUGCGAGUUCUCUACAAGCUGUUCACCGUUACCUCAGGAAUAACUGUUUUAUUUUAUGGAAAAAGGAUAUAAGCAUACAUUGAUCAUCAGAAACUGAGAGCAUAAACAGUGGGCUUUAAUGAUGUAAUGCUUUGCAUUUAUGCAGUUUCCCAUGCAAGAUUUUUAUAUUGUAUCCAAUGUAUCCAAUAUCACUUAAUUUAAAUGCAUCCCAGCUUUGUGAAAGGUAGAUUUUGUAAUCCUGUUUUUCAGAUAAAGCUGCAAGGACAAUUGAAAUUUUACCUGUCUAUGCUUUAAGUUAGACAAGUAUCUUGUGCUUGUGCACUUAGCUGAAGUGUUUGGACUGGUCCUGACUGUUUGGUAAGUUCAGCCAGGCUUAAUAUUUUAAGAAAAGUUAUAUUGUUCAUGAAUGAUUUGUGAUCUUGAAUGAUUGCUCUGGACUGUCGUUCAGAACCAGUUUGUGAUGGCCAUCUCAAAGUGAACCCAGUGAAAGCCUCCUUGUGCACCUGCCUACAUAGACUUGCCCUAAAUAAAUCUGAAAAUUAGACCUAUGUAUCUUUGAACAUUUUGAGUGGAGUUGGUGCAGUAUUAGGUUGCUAUAAAGCCACUGAAAAUUCUGAACCUGGUCUCUGAAGUUAAACCAUCAAUCACACCAUAGCCAGACCCCUGCAUUCUGCAGGUUUUGGAAUUAAAAAGCAUUGCUAAAAUUUUACUUAACUGGUUUAUGAGGCAAAACCUCUGCAUUCCCAGUGAGCUCCUUGUGGUAGAAAAAUGCCUCUAUCACAGGUAACAUUUCCUCUGAUUUUUGCUUGUGCUACCAGCCUUGCCUUAUCUGUCUCAUAAGUACUCUGUGUGUGGUAUUUAUGAAAUAUUAUCCAGGUAUGGUAUUUAAUCUCUUUACAAGAGAGAAAAAACCACAAUGCACUUACUCAGCAAUUCCAUCUGAAUUGUGCUUCCGUGAUCCGAUUUUCUGCCUCUUGAUACCACCAAAUUAUUACUUCAGCAAAACUGUCUGCAGUGCCAACACACGCACAGAUGAAGUCAUAAUAGCAGUUCAUAUUUCACAUGCAUAUGCACAAUCCUCCAAAUGGUGUUCCUAAGAAUAGAGGUUUGAAAAGCUCCUUGAUAACAUGAGUGUGAAAGGAGUUUUGUACAAUCAAUACUCACAUUCUGCUUGCUGCUUGGUAUUGAUAGCAUCUGCUUCUGCAGGGUAUAAUGUAUAUUUAACUGUAUAAAAUAAGUAUAUUAAUUACUGGACCUGUGCUUCCAAUAAAAUGAAAAUUCUGAAUUAA